rnacentral:rRNA from 1 species
UACGAAGGGUGCAAGCGUUAAUCGGAAUUACUGGCGUAAAGCGCGCGUAGGUGGUUCAGUAAGUUGGAAGUGAAAUCCCCGGGCUCAACCUGGGAACUGCUUUCAAAACUGCUGAGCUAGAGUACGGUAGAGGGUGGUGGAAUUUCCUGUGUAGCGGUGAAAUGCGUAGAUAUAGGAAGGAACACCAGUGGCGAAGGCGACCACCUGGACUGAUACUGACACUGAGGUGCGAAAGCGUGGGGAGCAAACAGG